CUGAAGGCCCCGGAGUGCACCAGCGGCAUGUACAAAGAGACCGUCUACUCCGCCUUCAAUCUGCUCAUGCACUACCCACCCCCCUCGGGAGCAGGGCAGCACCCCCAGCCGCAGCCCCCGCUGCACAAGGCCAAUCAGCCCCCCCACGGUGUCCCCCAACUCUCUCUCUACGAACAUUUCAACAGCCCACAUCCCACCCCUGCACCUGCGGACAUCAGCCAGAAGCAAGUUCACAGGCCUCUGCAGACCCCUGACCUCUCUGGCUUCUACUCCCUGACCUCAGGCAGCAUGGGGCAGCUCCCCCACACUGUGAGCUGGUGAGUGUGGGCCCAAUGGGAAAGGGGUACCGUGUGCUGGUCAGACCAAGACCUGCCUGCCCUUCCAUUUCCUCCUCCAUCCCUCUUGGCUGGCCACCCUGCUGCCAGCUCUGUUUAGAUGCCAGGGGCUGGCCAGCAACUCUGUCCUAACCUGGCUCUGAGCUAGGGGUCCUCAUGUACCCCGGCCUGCAUUCCCCAGGGAGCCUGACAUACUCCCUUUGGAGAGGCAGGAGAGCUGGUCCCUGGUCCCAGCCCUGUCUCCCUCAGUGUCCAAGAGAUCCCCUUAGAUGGGAGAACUCUGGGCUGCUAAGGGACCUCCAGGGCCAUAUGAGUAACUGAGGAAGAAAGGUGGGCCCGAGCAGGGAGGGGACAGCAUGAGUGGCUACCAGAGAGGCUGCUGCUUCUCAGCUCACUGGCCUCAGUGCCUACUGCUUUUGGUCCUUUCCUUGGCUGAGCUGCUUGAGGGGCAGUGUCCCUCCCUGCCCCUGUGGUGCCUGCUUAAGCCCAAGCCUCUGACCAGCCUGCUUGGAGAUUAAGGCUGGACCAGGAAAAGGAAGCCUGGCCCCCUAAGCCAGUAGGCCUGGCUAUGGGCCAAAGGGCCUGUCCUCAGCUGGAGUUGGGCCUUGGCAGGCUACUUGGCCCUUUACUCAUCAACGAUAGUUUGAGCUGCGCAGGUCUCUAGCCUAUUUCAGAGAGCUGGGCUGUGGCAGUCACCCAACAGCAGGAAAACUUGGCUCCCCAAGGAGAUCGGGCAGGCCAGAGGCCCAACCUGUGGCCCACUUGCCCUUUACCCAUGGUCAGCACCCUCCUCCGUUCC
rnacentral:sRNA from 1 species